rnacentral:rRNA from 1 species
AGUGAACUCUUUCUUUAGGCCUAACACAUGCAAGUCGAACGGCAGCACAGUAAGAGCUUGCUCUUACGGGUGGCGAGUGGCGGACGGGUGAGGAAUACAUCGGAAUCUACUUUUUCGUGGGGGAUAACGUAGGGAAACUUACGCUAAUACCGCAUACGACCUACGGGUGAAAGCAGGGGAUCUUCGGACCUUGCGCGAUUGAAUGAGCCGAUGUCGGAUUAGCUAGUUGGCGGGGUAAAGGCCCACCAAGGCGACGAUCCGUAGCUGGUCUGAGAGGAUGAUCAGCCACACUGGAACUGAGACACGGUCCAGACUCCUGCGGGAGGCAGCAGUGGGGAAUAUUGGACAAUGGGCGCAAGCCUGAUCCAGCCAUACCGCGUGGGUGAAGAGGGCCUUCGGGUUGUAAAGCCCUUUUGUUGGGAAAGAAAAGCAGCAGGUUAAUACCCCGCUGUUCUGACGGUACCCAAAGAAUAAGCACCGGCUAACUUCGUG